rnacentral:lncRNA from 1 species
CCUAGGCCUAGUUAUUGAUUAGUAAUACUAAACUAUUAUAUGCUGGCCAACUUUUUCAAUUUAUCGGGUAUGGAACUAUCACAAUCUUCCUCACUUAAAUCCCUGACAUCCUCGUCAGGGCCCAUUUUGACUCCAGUAUCCCCUCCUAGUACACAUCCAUAUGGGAUCCAGAGGCAAGUCCACCACGCCGCUGUUACCAUCCUCGGUAGUCAACCUCCCCUGCUGGAUCGAAGGUACCUCAUCGAAAUACACAGUCUAUUCCAGCAUGGCCCCACAUGAUAGUAAGCUCGGGAGUGGCUCUGAUACCAUUUAUAACGUCUCAAUAUCCCAAAUACUUUACCAACCAACAACUUGAUCGAGCCUAAAUCAUACGGCCCAAAAUACCU